AUUAUACUCUUCUUCUCCUUUUUUUAUCUGCUGCUUCUGAAUCAUCAAGCAGAGGCCUUCAGUCGGCCGAAACUAAUGGCCAAACGGCGUUUUCCCCUUGAAAGAGUCGUCCAGCAUCAAGAUCCAGGACAGGAAAUUACUAAACCACUGAACUAUGAAUGGUCCAUUCCCGUCGAAAGAGAAGUUCGUCAAAAAGAGAAAGACGACCCGAAUCUGGAGGCUAACGAGUGGAUGUACUGAGAUGAAACGCGCAUUGGCUUGGCUUGUGGAUAAACAGUGAAAAGGGACCAUUGUAUUGUGACGCGAGUCCAGAAGUAGUACUGAUCGUAAAAGUAUUGUAGAAUAUUCCGAAAUAAAAUGAUUUGAAACCAGUCAA